rnacentral:rRNA from 1 species
UACGAAGGCCUCAAGCGUUAUCCGGAAUCACUGGGCGUAAAGAGUUCGUAGGUGGAGAAGUAAGUCAGUUGUCAAAGGUCUGGGCUCAACCCAGUACUUGCAACCGAAACUACUUCCCUUGAGUUAGGGAGAGGUAAGCAGAACUGUAUGAGUAGGGGUGCAAUCCGUUGAUACAUACAAGAAUACCAAAAGCGAAGGCAGCUUACUGGAACUAUACUGACACUGAGGAACGAAAGCGUGGGGAGCGAAAAGG